CUUGAAGAAAGUCCGAGAAAAGCAAGGCAGGUGCUUGUUGUUUUCCACAGAAUGGAAUGUAGGAGAGAAAACUUACCUAUAGAACAUCUGGAUACAUCUUCGAAGAAAUAUGUUGAUUUGAAAGCAGACCUAAUCAGAACAGAGAGGCAUCUGUUAAAAGAGAUGGGUUUCAUCUGCCAUGUCGAGCAUCCUCAUAAAUUUAUAUCAAACUACCUUGCAACUCUUGAAACACCUGCAGAGUUGAG
rnacentral:misc_RNA from 1 species